rnacentral:rRNA from 1 species
GAUGAACGCUGGCGGCGUGCCUAAUACAUGCAAGUCGAGCGGACAGACGAGGAGCUUUCUCCUCUGACGUUAGCGGCGGACGGGUGAGUAACACGUGGAUAACCUACCUAUAAGACUGGGAUAACUACGGGAAACCGGAGCUAAUACCGGAUAAUAUAUUGAACCGCAUGGUUCAACAGUGAAAGACGGUUCUGCUGUCACUUAUACAUGGAUCCGCGCCGCAUUAGCUAGUUGGUACGGUAACGGCUUACCAAGGCAACGAUGCGUAGCCGACCUGAGAGGGUGAUCGGCCACACUGGAACUGAGACACGGUCCAGACUCCUACGGGAGGCAGCAGUAGGGAAUCUUCCGCAAUGGGCGAAAGCCUGACGGAGCAACGCCGCGUGAGUGAUGAAGGUCUUCGGAUCGUAAAACUCUGUUAUUAGGGAAGAAGAAAUGUGUAAGUAACUAUGCACGUCUUGACGGUACCUAAUCAGAAAGCAACGGCUAACUACGUG